UGUGCUAAGCUCUCUAUCCUGUGGCUACUACAGGUCACGUUACAGCCUCCGGAAUAAAAACACUUUAGUGAUCUUCACUAUCUACAUGUCUACUGUGGGUUGAGGCUUUUGAGGCCAGUGAGACACACUGACAGAUUUUAUUCUCGAUUCAUGAGGCUAAAAUCCUCCACGUAGCCGGACAGAAAGAGAGAGUGAUUUCACCCCUCAGGACAUCUUUCAAGCAGCGCGAGCGCCGGCUAUAAUCUGGACAACGGCUGUUAGUUUAUGAAGAACUGAAUAAAUCUACUGAAUUCAUGUUUCUCUAAAGGAGAGAAGUAAACUUAUCAUUGCAUGUUUACUCCAGGACUGAGAAAUGGUUGUACCUUUGCUGGCGGUCGUGUCCGCGCUCGUUUCUUCUCUCGAUGCAACACUACGCUUUUACCUUCCGGGUUCUGUGACCAACCGUAGCCCAAAUUCCACCAGCGCCCUGUAGGUCAACAGCGCCGAUGGCGGUUGUUGUUGACCCGGGCCUCGACCGAUCUGGUGAAAACACCAGCCAGAGCAUGAAGGAGAAAGCUGAAACUGAUGGGAAGUUUCCUCACGUCUCUCCACAGACAACUGAGUAAAAAAGGAUAUGAGGAAACCAAGACAAGAGCAAAAGUUGAUGCUGAAGUUGAUGCUGAAGUUGAAGGUGUUGCAGAGGAACACAGCAGCAAAGAAAAGGAGAGAAGAAAAGGACCAGGAGAGGGACAUGAGGCAGAGGACAGAAGAAAGUCCUGGUAAACAAAGCAGAAGUAGAAGAGGCUUAAAAAGUGGUUCAGGCUGAGGCUGAAGCUGGAGAAAGCAAGCCAGAAGAUGCUGAACCAGAGAAAAGCACAUCUGCUGUGAAAAGCACCAGCAGUGAAAAGGAGAAGAAAAGGAGGAAGAGAGGGAGACGAGGCGGACAUAAAAAGAGACUUCGGGCCAACAUUGCAGAAGGAGAUGAGGUUAAAACUGAGGCUCAAGCAGAAAUUGAGGCUGAAGCUGUUGUUGAAGCUGAGGCUGAAGUGGAAGCUGAGACUGAAGCAGUUGAUACUGAGGAUGAGGUCGAGAAAGACGAUGAGGCUAAAACUGGUGCUGAGGCUGAAAGUGAAGGUUGAGGCUGUAGUUGAAGCUGAAGCUGAGGAUCAUGUUGAAUUUGAAAUGCUUUUAAAAGCAAGCCAGGAGAUGCUAAAACAGAGAACAGCACAUCUGCUGAGGAAAGCACCAGCAGUGAAAAGGAGAAGAAGAAACGGACCAGGAGAGGGAGACGAGGUGGAGGAAAGAAGAAAGUCCAGGUCAACAAAGCAGAAGUUGCUGAGGCUGAAAACGUGGUUCAGGAAGAAGCUGAGGCUGAAGCUGUAGAAAACAAGCCAGGAGAGGCAGAAGCAGAGAACAGUAAGUAAAGAAAUGACCUUUCAACAAGGAAACAGCUUUUAUAUUACACAUUUAAAGAUACAUUGAUAUAGUGCUUUUUGAAUAACAUAAAAAGACUCUUUUUUUGUUGUAAUAGCUAAAUAAAACCACGACUGAUGUUACAUUUCAAUGGGCUCAGUAACAGCUUCCAUUUCCACUGGAGUUACUGCACAGCUCUCCAUAUCUACUGCUCAUAGAUCACUCCCUAAUCAGUGAAAUUCUAAAAAUUAUUUAUAAGUAUAAAUAAUAAGUAAAAACUAUCAUUUUAAUAAGAACAGCUUAACUAAAAAUGUGAAAAUUGUGGUAUUCAAUUACACUUUAUGUUUAAUCCAUUCAAGUGCCCCACUCAUUCAUCUCAUCAACCUCAGGAUCAGACUUUACUGUCUAAGUUUGAUGGUUUGUGAUGAAUUCUGGGAAACAAGCUCAGUGGAAGCCUCCUUCCACAGCCUCAGUGGAAGACAAGUCCUGAGAAGAUCAGCUCAAACACACACACACAUUAUAAUUAUCAUUAAAAACGCUAUUCAAUAAACUUUCCAUGAGGAGUGAUUAUUUCUGCAAAUGCACCGAGUGGUCAAACAGGAAGGUGGUCAGUUUGAGCCUUUUUAAUGCAGCAGGACCGGACGGCGUCUCGGCUUGGCUCCUUACGGCCUGAACUCUGCAGCAGCACUGGUGUUCAGGGGGAUAUUCCACCUGUCCCUGGAACAGUCACUAAUCUCCAGGUAAAAAAACCCACUUCACUACUGUCCUGAAGAAGCUCGACAGUGUCUUUACCACCUUAGACCAUUCACAGACAUUCAACUGAACUGAAAAUGGAAGAAAAAUUUCACCAUGAAAAAUAUAUACUCAAAGUCUUUGACAGUCAAAUGUAAUAUAAAAAGCAAUAAAUUCCGGCAAACUAGAACAAGUGAGUGU